UUAUAAGGUUUGCUCCUGGAUAGCUUUAUUUUCUUUAUUGGAACUCAAUUUAAAGACCUGACUUAAUUACCAACCCCAACCAUGUGUUUUAGAGUUCGCACAGCUUUUUAUGAUGCUUUUGUCAAGAUUAUUCUAUUGUGUAUCCUGUUCUUUACGUAUAUGUUCAUGCAGAGAUCUUCGUACUUUUUUGAGUCAGGCCAUGUGGCUUACUUUUUCAUGCAAAAAGCUUCCCCGGUUUUGUCUUUAAACUCUUACACUUUCGUGAAAAGAUAAUUCACUUUAGCCUGUUUGCUUUAGCUACUACCUUCUUAAAAGCAACAAUGUUAUUUUUACAGGGUCUUUCAGAUUUUCUCUUUGUCUUCUGCUUGAUGCUUGCUGGUGAGUGAAACGAUGAACUCAAAGAACAUAAACGGCGAGUGGUGUGGCCACCUCUCUUAGGUUCUGAGGUUUGUUGGUGC